rnacentral:lncRNA from 1 species
UUUAAAACUUUUUACAACUCUUCCACCAAGACUCCAAAACUUUUUAAUCUUUUCCAUCGAGGCUCUAAAUUCCUUCACCAAGGUUUCAAUAUCUUAAGAAUUCUUUCAUUGAGGUUUCAAUAUCUUAAGACUUCCUCCAUCAAGGUUCCAAUAUCUUAAGAAUUUUUCUGCCAAGAUUCCAAUAUCUUAAGAAUUCCUCCACCAAGCCUUCAAAUUCCUCCAUCGAGGCUUCAAUAUCAUAUGAAUUCCUCAACCGAGGCUUCAAUAUCUUAAGAAUUCCUCCACUCAGGCUCUAAUAUCUUAAAAAUUUCUCUACUAAGUUUCCAAAAUCUUAAGAAUUCUUCCACUG